UGGCCGUAAACGAUGUGGACUUGGUGUUGGGAUGGCUCCGAGCUGCCCCAGUGCCGAAGGGAAGCCGUGAAGCGAGCCACCUGGGAAGUACGGCCGCAAGGCUGAAACUUAAAGGAAUUGGCGGGGGAGCACAACAACGGGUGGAGCCUGCGGUUUAAUUGGACUCAACGCCGGACAACUCACCGGGGACGACAGCAAUAUGUAGGCCAGGCUGAAGACCUUGCCUGAAUCGCUGAGAGGUGGUGCAUGGCGUAGACGUCU
rnacentral:rRNA from 1 species